rnacentral:rRNA from 1 species
UACAAAAGGUACAAACGUUGCUCGGAAUUAUUGGGCGUAAAGCGCACGUAGGCGGCAUCGUAAGUCCGAUGUGAAAGCCCCAGGCUCAACCUGGGAAGUGCAUUAGAUACUGCAAAGCUUGAAUCUGGAAGAAGAUCGCGGAAUUCCCGGUGUAGAGGUGAAAUUCGUAGAUAUCGGGAGGAACACCAGUGGCGAAGGCGGCGACCUGGGCCAAGAUUGACGCUAAGGUGCGAAAGCGUAAGGAGCAAACAGG